rnacentral:lncRNA from 1 species
AAGACUCUGUGUAAGAAAGAGAGAAUGCGGCGUCAAAGGUGAUGGGGUCGGCCACGGCGGCGCGCGGCGGAGCUGUGGCGGAUCCACGGCGGCGAGCAGGGUUUGUGACUGGGAUCCGCCGGCGAGCCGGGUUUGUGACUGUACACGAGUAGAGAGCGACGAGGGAUGUUAGAUCGAUGGCUGCCAUAGCUCCGACAGUGAUGACAGUCAAGCUGCUAGGGUUCGGACUAAGUUCUGGCAAGUUUCCGGUUCGUCGCAACAUGCAGAUCCUAGGUCGAGUCAGUGUUGGUGGUCGAUCACGGUUGUGUGACAUUAGUACUAUUUGACACCGUUUUACGCCCCGCCGCAACGCGGGGUGGGCUUUGGGGGUUUUCCAAAGAAAAAAUGGUUAUGCAUAUGGUUGUCGUAACCUUGGCUUUAGGGGUUUUCCAAAAAAAAAUUAUUAUUUUUUACUUUUCACCAAAAAGUAUUUCAUAAAUUACUUUUAACCUUGGCUUUAAGGUGUUUGAUCAAAUGCCUAUGAUUUUUUUAAUAUUAUUUUGUUAAUUCAUAGGUUAUCUAUUGAAUGUUUGACAUGAAUGUAUACAUAACAUCUUCAAGGUAUCAUUUCAGUUUUUAUAUAUGUCGGUUAAGUGCAGUGAAUAUGGUAGUAGUUGUGCAAUAUUAGAUUGUACAAAAGUGAACCUGUGCAAUAAAAGAUUGUACAAAAUUGAACAGUAGUGUAGUGGUACCUCUGGCCACCCAAUUGCCACUUUGCACCGACUUACACCAGUUGUUGAAGACGAGCCAGGGAUGAAGGAGGAGCAAGCGGCGUUUAUGAAGGAGCUAGAGACUUUCCACUAGGGCAGGGAAGAGAAACGGCGGCGUCGUUUAGGGUUCCGCCGCAAACACAACGCCGGUGGCGACUGUGGUUGACGUUGCAAGCUCCGGUUCUGGCAAGAGAAGAAUAUUUGAUACUUUUUCAGCAUAAUUCGUUAAUCUUGAAUCGGUUCCGGUGAAGCUCCGAUGAACCAUUCAACACUUGAAUGUCUAAGAUCUGUUUAGAUCGGUGUCUCUCAGGCCACCAUCGAUGGGUUAGGGAGGGAGCUGUGGCACAUGAAGACUUUGAGGGGCAUAAAGUGACUAUUGGAGCUGGUGAUUUGCAGUGGAUGACUUACAGAUAGACAUAAGAGGGAUGGGAAUCAUUGGGAUGACUAUUCGUGUAUGGAUUGAUAGAUAAAAAUUGUUGAGCUUUGGAAACCCAAAACAUAUUGGAUGGGGCCUCUGGUGUGGAAGUGAUAAAAAAGUCAAGGGUCGAGUUCGGUAUCAGGUGAUACCUUAGCCGAGUAAAAGGGUUUUUGAAGACUAUUAGGAUGCUUUCAAUGAUGACUGGGAGCCUCGGAUUAGUGGUCAAGACUAAUGUUCAUGAUAUUUGGGUCAAAGAAAAAUGUUAAUUGCAUAUUAUCUCAACAAGUUAUAUUUAUUUGUGAAUGUGUUCUUGCUGUUGUAAUCUCAUUUGCCAUUCUUGCUUUGGGAGGCUCAAAGAUCAUGAUGUAUGAUUUAGAUAGAAAGGUAGAUAAGAAGACUUUGUACAACAGUUAUUGUUAUUUUUUUUUAUUUUUGGUACUAACUAGGCGGAAUACUUUAUAAAACAAAUAUUUUAAUUCGUCUGUACUUUUG